CACCUGCUGCUGACUGCUUCUCUCAGGAAGGUUUUCAUAAAGAAAAGGCUGUCUUCACCUAGAAAGACACUCUGGAAUCUUCUGGGUCUGCAGUUUCCAGAUUAAGGAUGGGGGUAAAGUGAAAUGUGGAAAUAUGGUCCUCACCUUGGAGUUCACAGAUAUUGUUGCCUGGAUGGCACCUGGAAUCCUCUUCCCUCUCCAGCUCCCAACGCAGCUUCAGGCUCUGACAUCAGCUCUCUGCAGACGAAGCCUGGACACGCUGCUAACAACCCACGUGAUGGAAAUGCAUCAAGCCAUACAUGGCCAUACACAGGUCCUGCUUCCAUGUCUGUGACAGACAGAAUAAUGGCUUCCCCAAAGAUGUCGCAUCAUAAUCCCGGGAACCUGUGAAUAUGCUACCUUAUGUGACAGAAGGGAAUUUGCAUUAAGGUUAAAAUUAAGGACCUUGGGAUGCGGAGAUUAUCCUGAAUUAUCCAGGUGGACCCAAUCUAACCUUAUGAAUCCUUUAAAAGUGUAAGAAAACAGGAAAAUAGAUAGAGAAAUUAUCUAUUUGACUCUAGAAAAAUUCAACCCACCAUUGAUGGCUCUGAAGGUAGAGAAAGGAGGCCAUGAGCCAGGGAGAGCGGCAGCCUCUAGAAGCUGGGAACCAUCUUCAGUUUACAUCCAGUAAGAAAACAUGGACCUUAGUCUACAACUGCAAGGAACUGAACUCUGCCAAUCGAUACAGAUGAGCAGGAAAUGGAUUCUCCUUUCUAACCUCCAAAAAGGAAAACAGCCUUUCAGCAUUUUGAUUUUUAGUCUGGUGAGACCAUAUCAAACU